rnacentral:rRNA from 3 species
CUUGGCGACCAUAGCAUUGUGGACCCACCUGAUUCCAUGCCGAACUCAGAAGUGAAACACAAUAGCGCCGAUGGU